rnacentral:SRP_RNA from 1 species
GGGAGGUUGGCGAUGGACAGGUCCCUCGCGAACCCGGUCAGGUCCGGAAGGAAGCAGCCGUAACGAAUCCGAUCUGGGUUGUUGUCCAGCCUCCCACC